CAGCAACCCCUCCUCCUCCGGCCAUCUUCGCAGUUUCCCCUCUCUUUUCAAGCCUAUCAAAUACUAUCUUAUGGCUGGUGAAGGUGUGGCAAGUGAAGGAAGACAUGAAAGUAGGGCAAAGUGGAAUGAAAUUCACAAGGCUCACCUAGUAAAGUUAUUGGGUGAGUAUAAUACUCCUGCAUACCGUUCACAAAAUGGAUGGACCAAAGAAGCAUGGAACAAGAUGGUACGUGACAUGAUAACCAAGUUUUCUAAUCUAAGCAUCACCACAAGCCAAAUCAAAGCAUUAGAACAAGAAUUGAAAAAAACCUACAAGCUUCUAAAAGGGUUUUCUGAAUUAAGUGGCUUUGGAUGGGAUUAUGAAAGACACAUUGUAUCGGCUCCUGAUGAUGUUUGGGCACCACUACUAGAGGUAUGUACAUAAAUAAUGAAUGAUUUCAUUAAUUACAACCAUCUAAUUUGGAAAAAUCAAACAGAGGAAUAAGGAUGCAAGGAAGUGGCAUAGUAGACCGUUUCCAUAGUUUACAGCUUUGCAGGAGGUUUAUGAGGGGAGAUAUGCUGAAGGCAAACGAUCUCGUGGUAUAGAAGAUUAUGAAGAUAUUUCUCAAUCACCAGUGCACACCCCAAGUCCAAGUGUUUUUA